ensembl:lncRNA
GUGGGGUGAGUCUGCAGGGCAACAGGCUCCCAGGUGUUGGCAGCCCGGCCCGCUGACAGGCCUGCGGGCAGUACUCUCCACAGUGAGGGUGUAAGAGGCCUCGAGUGAGAAGCAACAGCACUGAUGGAGCGAAAGGCCCUUUAGGGCAAGUGACAGGGAAAGCUCACCCCUCUUAACCAGGGAUGUCAUCAGCUUUCUUGGAGGGAUGCUUUAACUGUGGAAUUUGUUUGGUAUUUUAGUGCAUCCUCACAGGUUAUUUUUAUUCCCAUUUCACAGCUGUGGAAGCUACUCUAACCAAAUGUUUAUCAAAGCUGGGCUCCCUGCCCCUUGGAUGUCUUCCAAGAGCACAGGCCUCCCGUGAGGCAGGGCAGGGCAGGGCAGGGCGGAAGCACAAAGGCCAGAGCUGUGACGAGGAGGCCAAUCCUAGCCCAGCAGACAAAGGCAGGAAAGCCAACGGACACAGGAGGUCCCCCAGGGGGUAGAGGUUGGGUGGGGAAAGGCAGAUAAAGAGCCAGAAACCCAUUUUGCCUCCUGGAAUUUUUAACAAAAUAGAGACAAAAUGUAACCUCAGCCUCCUACCCCCAAUUCCCCUAACUCCCACUCCCACCUCCCAGAACUAAAGAGGAUAUUUAAAUACAGAGGGUAUCUCCGUCUUAGACCUACGCCCAUGGAAAUGAGUGACCAAGGUCACCCGGAAGGCCAGCGGCACAGCUGGGACCCAACGCUUCGCCUUACCUCCCUGUGCUUUUCCAGAGCAGCAUGCUGCCUCAAUCACGCUUUUCCCACCCUCGUUUGGGCCCAACUACCCUAAAAACUGGGCUUCCCUGACGGCUUAGUGGUAAAGAAUCCACCUGCCGAUGCAGGAGACAAGGGGUUGAUUCCUGGUUUGGGAAGAUCCACUGGAGAAGCAAAAGGCAACCCACUCCAGUAUUCUUGCCUGGAGAAUUCCAUGGUCAGAGGAGACCUGUGGGCUACAGUCCACAGGGUCAUAAAAUAGUUGGACAUAACUUAGCGACAGAACAACAACAAACAAAAAACCCUAAAAGGUGCAUCUGUGUUUCAACAUUUAUGACAGCGAACCUAGCUCUUUUUACUGAGUCUGGUUCAACGUUUGCUGCAAUAAGGGCACUCCAAGGGGGCAACCCUGUCCAGGCCUGGGACCUGCUUCCUAAUUUAGGAGGCUGGCUGAUAAGAGUCAGAUAAGACAGCCAGGCUGAUCUCAAGAUGGAUGGGUUUUGGAAAGAUAAAAUGAUAAA